rnacentral:sRNA from 1 species
GGGCAUGGUGGCUCAUGCCUGUAAUCCCAGUAACUUGGGAGGCUGAGGCAGGAGGAUCACAGUUUCGAAGCCAGCCUCAGCAACUUAGUAAGGCUGCAAGCAACCUAGUGAGACCCUGUCUCAA